AGGAGCUUCAGGCUUCAUAAGCUGGGAGGGAACUCAUCAGUGUCUGGUCUGGCAGGGUUCCUAGGUGGAGCUGACUGGAUGUAGGAGGGGAACUUCAAGAACCACCUUGACACCACAGUCCAGGAGUUGGUUACUUGCUUCUGUCUUUAGCUGUCAGACAAACACCAUGAAGAGGCUGCUGUGCUCUCUGCUAGGGCUGCUGUGCACCCAGGUUUGCUGGGUGAAAGGGCAACAAGUGAAGCAGAGUCCAGUGUCCUUGGUUCUGCAGGAAGGAGAGAAUGCAGAGCUGUUUUCCACCUCUGCAAGCCAAGUACAGUGGUUUUAUCAAAGUCCUCAGGGACACCUCAUCAGCCUGUUCUUCAAUCCUUCUGGAACAAAGCAAAGUGGAAGACUGAAGUCCACGACAGUCACUCAGAAACGCUGCAGCUCUUUGUACAUUUCCUCCUCUCGGAGCACAGACUCAGGCACUUAUUUCUGUGCUGUGGAUCCACAGUGCUCCACACACACCUGCAGCCAGCACAUAAACCUUUAG